UACGGGGGGGGCAAGCGUUGUUCGGAAUUACUGGGCGUAAAGGGCUCGUAGGCGGCCAACUAAGUCGGAUGUGAAAUCCCCAGGCUUAACCUGGGAACUGCAUCCGAUACUGGAUGGCUUGAAUCCGGGAGAGGGAUGCGAGAAUUCAGGUGUAGCGGUGAAAUGCGUAGAUAUCUGGAGGAACACCGGUGGCGAAGGCGGCAUCCUGGACCGGUACUGACGCUGAGACGCGAAAGCGUGGGGAGCGAACGAGGA
rnacentral:rRNA from 1 species